rnacentral:rRNA from 2 species
GGGGGAAAAUUUAAUAAAUAAAUAAUUAUGAAAAAAAAUUUUAAUAUAAAAUAUUUAAUGGGGGUUAAAGUAUAUUUAUAGAAAAAAUUUUAAAAUUUAUAGUAAAUUAGUAUUGUGAAAGAAAAUUGAAAAUAUUGAAAUAAAAAUUUAUUAAAAAGUAAAUUUUAUUUAUUGUAUCUUGUGUAUCAGAGUUUAUUAAAAAAAUAAUUUAGUUUAAUUUAUUUCGAAUUUCAAAGAGUUAAUUAAUUAAAAAAGUUAAUGUUGCAUAAUUAUUUUUAAUAAUUAAUUAGAAAUGAAAAGUUAAUCGUUUUGAAAGAUAUCUAAUUUUUUUAGAAAAAAAUUUAAUUUUAAAUUAAUUUUUUAAUAAAUUAAUUAAUUAAUUUAUUAAAAAUUUAAUUUUAUAUUUUAGGGGAUAAGCUUUAAAUUAAAUUUUUAUAAUAAAAAUAAAAUAUUUGAAAUUUUUAAAAUUUAUAUUUUUUAAAAAUUAUAGUUUUUUAUAAAUAAUUUCAUUUAAUUAAAAUUUUAUUUUAAUUUAAUUUUUUAUAAAAAAAUAUUUUUUAAUAAAAAAAAAAUAGUUAUAAUGAUAAAAUUAGUAUAUAAUUUAUAAUAAAAAUAAAAAUUAUUUAAAUUAAUAAAAAGGAAUUCGGCAAAAAU